rnacentral:rRNA from 1 species
GACGAACGCUGGCGGCGUGCCUAAUGCAUGCAAGUCGAACGAACUCUGGUAUUGAUUGGUGCUUGCAUCAUGAUUUACAUUUGAGUGAGUGGCGAACUGGUGAGUAACACGUGGGAAACCUGCCCAGAAGCGGGGGAUAACACCUGGAAACAGAUGCUAAUACCGCAUAACAACUUGGACCGCAUGGUCCGAGCUUGAAAGAUGGCUUCGGCUAUCACUUUUGGAUGGUCCCGCGGCGUAUUAGCUAGAUGGUGGGGUAACGGCUCACCAUGGCAAUGAUACGUAGCCGACCUGAGAGGGUAAUCGGCCACAUUGGGACUGAGACACGGCCCAAACUCCUACGGGAGGCAGCAGUAGGGAAUCUUCCACAAUGGACGAAAGUCUGAUGGAGCAACGCCGCGUGAGUGAAGAAGGGUUUCGGCUCGUAAAACUCUGUUGUUAAAGAAGAACAUAUCUGAGAGUAACUGUUCAGGUAUUGACGGUAUUUAACCAGAAAGCCACGGCUAACUACGUGCCAGCAGCCGCGGUAAUACGUAGGUGGCAAGCGUUGUCCGGAUUUAUUGGGCGUAAAGCGAGCGCAGGCGGUUUUUUAAGUCUGAUGUGAAAGCCUUCGGCUCAACCGAAGAAGUGCAUCGGAAACUGGGAAACUUGAGUGCAGAAGAGGACAGUGGAACUCCAUGUGUAGCGGUGGAAUGCGUAGAUAUAUGGAAGAACACCAGUGGCGAAGGCGGCUGUCUGGUCUGUAACUGACGCUGAGGCUCGAAAGUAUGGGUAGCAAACAGGAUUAGAUACCCUGGUAGUCCAUACCGUAAACGAUGAAUGCUAAGUGUUGGAGGGUUUCCGCCCUUCAGUGCUGCAGCUAACGCAUUAAGCAUUCCGCCUGGGGAGUACGGCCGCAAGGCUGAAACUCAAAGGAAUUGACGGGGGCCCGCACAAGCGGUGGAGCAUGUGGUUUAAUUCGAAGCUACGCGAAGAACCUUACCAGGUCUUGACAUACUAUGCAAAUCUAAGAGAUUAGACGUUCCCUUCGGGGACAUGGAUACAGGUGGUGCAUGGUUGUCGUCAGCUCGUGUCGUGAGAUGUUGGGUUAAGUCCCGCAACGAGCGCAACCCUUAUUAUCAGUUGCCAGCAUUAAGUUGGGCACUCUGGUGAGACUGCCGGUGACAAACCGGAGGAAGGUGGGGAUGACGUCAAAUCAUCAUGCCCCUUAUGACCUGGGCUACACACGUGCUACAAUGGAUGGUACAACGAGUUGCGAACUCGCGAGAGUAAGCUAAUCUCUUAAAGCCAUUCUCAGUUCGGAUUGUAGGCUGCAACUCGCCUACAUGAAGUCGGAAUCGCUAGUAAUCGCGGAUCAGCAUGCCGCGGUGAAUACGUUCCCGGGCCUUGUACACACCGCCCGUCACACCAUGAGAGUUUGUAACACCCAAAGUCGGUGGGGUAACCUUUUAGGAACCAGCCGCCUAAGGUGGGACAGAUGAUUAGGGUG